rnacentral:rRNA from 1 species
GAUAAACGCUGGCGGUGUACAUAAGACAUGCAAGUCGAACGGGAGAAGACUGGAAGAUUUAUCUACUAGCUCGGACACCGUGGCGGACGGGUGAGUAACACGUAAGCAACCUGCCUAUAAGAGGGGAAUAACAGUGAGAAAUUACUGAUAAUACCGCAUAAGCUGGAGGUAUCGCAUGAUACAUUCAGAAAAGAUUUAUCGCUUAUAGAUGGGCUUGCGUCUGAUUAGCUAGUUGGUGAGAUAACAGCUCACCAAGGCGACGAUCAGUAGCCGGAUUGAGAGGUUGAACGGCCACAUUGGGACUGAGACACGGCCCAGACUCCUACGGGAGGCAGCAGUCGGGAAUAUUGCACAAUGGAGGAAACUCUGAUGCAGUGACACCGCGUAUAGGAAGAAGGUCUUAGGAUUGUAAGCUAUUGUUGUGUGAGAAGAAAAUGACCAUCACAGGAGAG